rnacentral:rRNA from 1 species
UACGUAGGGUGCGAGCGUUAAUCGGAAUUACUGGGCGUAAAGCGUGCGCAGGCGGUUCGUUGUGUCGGCGGUGAAAUCCCCCGGGCUCAACCUGGGAAUGGCCGUUGAAACUGGCGAACUGGAGUGUGGCAGAGGGGGUGGAAUUCCGCGUGUAGCAGUGAAAUGCGUAGAGAUGCGGAGGAACACCGAUGGCGAAGGCAGCCCCCCUGGGCUGACACUGACGCUCAGGCACGAAAGCGUGGGGAGCAAACAGG